rnacentral:rRNA from 1 species
CACGUAGGGCGCAAGCGUUGUCCGGAAUUAUUGGGCGUAAAGAGCUCGUAGGCGGUUUGUCGCGUCUGCUGUGAAAUCCCGAGGCUUAACCUCGGGCCUGCAGUGGGUACGGGCAGACUGGAGUGCGGUAGGGGAGAAUGGAAUUCCUGGUGUAGCGGUGGAAUGCGCAGAUAUCAGGAGGAACACCGAUGGCGAAGGCAGUUCUCUGGGCCGUAACUGACGCUGAGGAGCGAAAGCGUGGGGAGCGAACAGG